rnacentral:rRNA from 1 species
GAGUUUGAUCAUGGCUCAGGAUGAACGCUGGCGGCGUGCCUAAUACAUGCAAGUCGAACGAACAGAUAAGGAGCUUGCUCCUUUGACGUUAGCGGCGGACGGGUGAGUAACACGUGGGUAACCUACCUAUAAGACUGGAAUAACUCCGGGAAACCGGGGCUAAUGCCGGAUAACAUGUUGAACCGCGUGGUUCUACAGUGAAAGACGGUCUUGCUGUCACUUAUAGAUGGACCCGCGCCGUAUUAGCUAGUUGGUGGGGUAACGGCCUACCAAGGCGACGAUACGUAGCCGACCUGAGAGGGUGAUCGGCCACACUGGAACUGAGACACGGUCCAGACUCCUACGGGAGGCAGCAGUAGGGAAAUCUUCCGCAAUGGGCGGAAGCCUGACGGAGCAACGCCGCGUGAGUGAUGAAGGUCUUCGGAUCGUAAAGCUCUGUUGUUAGGGAAGAACAAAUGUGUAAGUAACUGUGCAUAUCUUGACGGUACCUAACCAGAAAGCCACGGCUAACUACGUGCCAGCCGCCG